rnacentral:lncRNA from 1 species
UCCACCUGGAAAUUUCUCAAGCUUGAGAUCAUGCCUGAAUUUUGAGAUUGAAGGCUGAAGUUCCAGCUGUCUGAUGUAGCCACAUUUUGAUACCAAGGGAUACUGUUUCAGGAGAAACACAUGAGAGCUAUUAGUUAGAUACCAUGGUUGGUUUUCUAUCUUUUUAUUCAUUAAUUUUCAAGUUGGUAAGAUUUUUAUGUUAAUUGAUAUGAGUACAUCGAAAGAGUAACUGGUUUCUUUCAUCUUCCAACUUGGUCAGAGAAUAUUCAGAGUUUUGUUCUCUAGGAAAAAGUUUGAAUCGUAGAAAUCUGAAAUUGUGAUUAAUCAGGGUUGAAAGACAAAUUUUUUAUUUUCCAAUGUUCUAUACUGUGUGUAUACAUAUAUAUAUAUCACAUCAUAUCACAAGGGACUUGGAAUGUCCUACAGUUGCCUUACUCUAUGUUUUAUCUAUUUGUUCUUAUUUAAUGUUCUUGAUUAUUGCAGUUUAGUUUCGCUAAAGAAGGGUUCGAGUAAAGAAGGAAAACAAUAAAAAGAAAGGGUCCUAACUCCUAAUGAUUAUGCACGUCACUCGGAUGCCACACAAGAUCAUUUUUAUGUUUGCAGGUUACCUUGUGAACAUUAAAGAUGACAUCCUGAACUUGGAUUGCUAAAUCUGUAGGGAUUUGAGUUGUGGCAAACCUGCAUUCGCUCAAAAAAGAAACGAACCGCGUGAGCUACGGAGAUAAUAUACUCUGUAUGCAUCUAAACGUUUUUAUUGAUUACACAGCAAUUAUUAGUUGGAAAUUAUAGUGUUCUGGAAUGAAGUUUUGAGAGCUUGAAUAGCAAGGAAUACAUGUUUUUUUUUACCAUGAGAGUUCUUUCCUUUCAAAGCUAUCAGCUGCGAGGAUGAGCUUAUUUGGAACGACGAUGCUUUGGUCAUAG